GUUGCACCAUUGCACUCCAGCCUGGGCAACAAGAGCAAAACUACAUCUCAAGGAAAAAAAAAAGACCCCCAAAAGGUCUAGCCAAGAUCAAAAUAACUGAAACCUUUUUGUGGACCAGAAAUAAGCAAAACUGUUGAUUGGGGUGGACACCCGGACCUGCAUGGGGCCAAGGGAGGCCCUGGUGACUGGAUGCUUCUCUAUUGUGAGGCAGCUGGCGGUAAAAGCCCUGGUGUGGACAACCUCCUUGGAGAUGAACAGACCCUGCAACCCAGCAGCUCCAACCCUAGGACACACCUGGAGAAAUCUCACACAAGCCACUACUGCAGUGUACUGCUGGAGUGUACAUGGCAGCAUUGAUUGAACAAGUGAAAAAUGAAAACAGCCUAAAUGCUCAACAGGAAAAGGAUAGUGGUGAAUCCACACCAUGGAACAUACUCCAGCAGUUAAUAUGGAUGAGCUGGAACUUCAGCUUAUGGAAAACUGAUAUCGAGCUUGAGAAUGUUGUGAGAGAAAAGCAAUUUCAGGGAGACAAGAAAGAGAGCCAAGGCGCAGUGGCUCUCACCUGUAAUCCCAGCACUUUGGGAGGCUGAGGCGUGUGGAUCAUCUGAGGUCAGGAGUUCGAGACCAGCCUGUCAACAUGGUGAAACCCUGUCUCUACUAAAAAUGCAAAAAUUAUCUGGGCGUGGUGGCACACGCCUGUAAUCCCAGCUACUCAGGAGGCUGUGGCAGGAGAAUCGCUUGAAUCCGGGAAUCCAGGAGGUGGAGGUUGUGGUGAGCCGAGAUCGUCCCAUUGCACUCUAGCCUGGGCAACAAGAGUGAAACUCCGUCUCCAAAAAAAAAGAAAGAAAGAAAGAAAGAAAGAGGAUGUGUCUCUUUUCAGCAGCUGCAAAGUGGUAGACACCAUUUCAUGUCAUAAAAUUGAUUCAAAGAAUCUUGCCUGAAUAAGGUGUGUAAUUGAUAUACUCAUGAAAUUUGUUCUGUUUUCUGUUGCUAAAAGUGAUACUUGGGAACAAGAUACUAAAACAUGCAGAAAAUGGAUGAAUCUCAAAAACAUGCUGUGUGGAAGAAGCCAGAUCUAAAAGAGCGCCCCGUAUACUUCUAUUGAUAUAAAAUUCUGGAAACACCAAAUCUAAUCCAUAGUGACACAGAGCAGAUCAGUGGUUGCCUGGGUCAGGGCUGGAAGGUGGAUUGACUGGGAGGGGUCAGAGGGAACUCCCUGGAGUAAUGAGAAAGUUCUUUUUUUUUUUUUUUUUUUUUUUUUGAGACAGGAUCUCACUUUAUCACCCAGGCUGGGGUGCAGUGGCUCGAUCUCGGCUCACUGCAACCUCUGCCUCCCAGGUUCAAGCAAUUCUCCUGCCUCAGCCUCUGAGUAGCUGGGAUUGCAGGCAUGCACCACGACACCCAACUGAUUUUUAUAUUUUUAGUAGAGACAGGGUUUCACCAUGUAGUCCAGGCUGGUCUUGAGCUCCUGACCUCAGGUGAUCAGCCUGCCUUGGCCUCCCAAAGUGCUGGGAUUACAGGUAUGAGCCACCACACUGGCCUAGGGAAAGUUCUUUUUUGUUGAUUUGUUUUUGUUUUUAUUUUGAGACAGGGUCUCAUUGUGUUGCUCAGGCUGGAGUGCAGUGGCGCUGCCUCAAUUCACAACAGCCUUCCUGACCUGGGCCUAGGUGAUCCUUCCACCUCAGCCUCCCAAGUAGCUGGGACCACAGGCCUUUGCCAACACGCUUGGCUAAAUGUUUAAAUAUUCUUUGUAGAGAUGAUAUAGCACUAUAUUGCCCAGGCUGGUCUGGAACUCCUGGGGUCAAACAAUGCUUCCACCUUGGCUUCUCAAAGUGUUGGGAAUACAAGUGUGAGCCAUCACACCCGGCUUUAAUUUUUUUUUUUUUUUUUUUUUUUGUGACAGCAUCUUGCCCUGUCACCCAGGCUGAAGUGCAGUAUUGUGGUCAUAGCUCACUGCUGCCUCCAACUCCUGGCUCAAGUGAUCCUCCUGCCUCAGCCUCCUGAGAAGCUGGGACCACAGGUGCAUGCCACCAUGCCUGGCUAAUUUUUUAAAAAAACUGUAGCCAGGUAGCUCCUACGUUGCCCAGGCUGUCCUGAAAGUCCUGGCCUCAAGCAAUCCUCCCGAUUCAGCCUCCCAAAGUUGGGAUUACAGGCAUGAGCCACUGCACCCAGCAGAAAGUUCUAUAUCUUGAUAGUGGCAGUGGGUAUUCAGAUAUAUCUAUUUGCUAAGCCUCAUCAAACUGUACAGUUAAAGUGAGACCCUGUCUCAAAAAAAACCUAUACAUUUAAAAUAAGUGCAUUGUAUUGUAUGUAAACUAUACUUCAAUAACAUUUAUUUUAAGUAAUAAAACAACUGUCCCUGGCAGUAUUUGUACAAAGGGAAGGGGUCUUUGAAGACACUCAGAAUUCAGACAUUAUUUUUAGGUCUUGCAAAAAAAAAAACCCCGAAACCAAAAACCUUUAACCUCAAAAACCGCACAAAAGGUAGCUGAGGUGGGAGAUCAGAAAUGCCUGUUAUUCUAAUUGGAUGUUGUGUUUGAUAAUUGUUGUCAUGAUAUUGCUAUUAGAAUAUUAAAGUAACAAUUAAAAUAUCAAAUGACAUCUCUGUACACAUAAA